rnacentral:rRNA from 1 species
UACGGGGGGGGCAAGCGUUGUUCGGAAUUACUGGGCGUAAAGGGCUUGUAGGUGGCCAACUAAGUCAGACGUGAAAUCCCUCGGCUUAACCGGGGAACUGCGUCUGAUACUGGAUGGCUUGAGUUUGGGAGAGGGAUGCGGAAUUCCAGGUGUAGCGGUGAAAUGCGUAGAUAUCUGGAGGAACACCGGUGGCGAAGGCGGCAUCCUGGACCAAGACUGACACUGAAAGCGAAAGCCAGGGGAGCAAACGGG